rnacentral:rRNA from 1 species
CGAAGGUCCCAAGCGUUAUCCGGAUUUAUUGGGUUUAAAGGGUGCGUAGGCGGACUAUUAAGUCAGUGGUGAAAGCCCCAAGCUUAACUUGGGAACUGCCAUUGAUACUGAUGGUCUUGAGUACAUUUGAGGUGGGCGGAAUGUGUCAUGUAGCGGUGAAAUGCUUAGAUAUGACACAGAACACCGAUUGCGAAGGCAGCUCACUAAACUGUAACUGACGCUGAGGCACGAAAGCGUGGGGAGCAAACAGGAUUAGAUACCCUGGUAGUCCACGCCCUAAACGAUGAUCACUCGAUGUGUGCGAUAUACUGUACGCGUCUGAGCGAAAGCAUUAAGUGAUCCACCUGGGGAGUACGACCGCAAGGUUG